GUCACUAAGAAGAGCACUUGAAUCUUGUCGAGCGAAAUCGCUCUUUUUCUCUCGAUCACGUUUCGCUGAGAUCCGCUCCUUCCCCUCACCCCCUUAUACGCCCACCACAUCCGCAGCAACACCAUGUUCCUCGGUGGUUUCGUGCCGCGCCGCUUCGCGCAGUUCAACCGCGAUCCGUGGUGGAUGUUUUUCAUCUUCGCGAUCGGAGCCUGGGCUGGCGAGUACCCGGCUAUGCAGAUCAAGUACAACGCCCGCGACUUGGUGCUAGACCCCCACCGCUACGUGUGGUCACACCUGGACGAUCACCACUAACGCAGACAAGCAGUUCCUGACCACUCGCACGCUUUCCCUCUUUCAGCCCUAUAGCACGUUUCUCUCUCCGUUAUGGCAACUGCCAUGGUCAUGACCUGGACUGCAUGAAAAGGGGCGCGGAGGAGUCGAAGAUGAUGGCGACGUGGUGGGACACCAAGAGAGACAUGACAGACACCCACAUAUGCGUACUCUGGCGUGACGAUAUUGUUCAGACCCCCAACCCACCCACACAAACACACGCACAUACGUACCCUCAAGCGGGUUCUCAUGAUAGCAGUAGUUAGUAGUCCCUCUUCUUACCUCCUCCCCCCACCCCUCCCAUUUUCUCUCGUAAAGUAAACGGACAACAACGAAAAUGGAAUAAAAAGUGCCGGAAAGGGCCUUCGAGGGCAAAUACAUUGCAGUGACACACUGGCACCACCGUGCGCAGACAAGGGCGGGGGCGCACACGGCGGGCUACGAAAGGCACGCGCAAGCCUCGCUGCAGCGCCCUAGUCGUUUGCGUGUGUGUGUAUGUGUGCCUUCGCGGGAGAUCGACGUGGCCUCGCGUCUUCCACACUCUGCUUGCGCUGACUCGGCCUCCCAACCGCCACCUCGUGCUUCACCUUUUUCGUUCAUGAGUCUUGGCUGAUGAGCACAGAGAACGGAAUGGGCGAAGGCGCUGGGAGUGGCAAAGCAGUGUGAGGAGUUGCCAGCGGCUCUGCUUGUAGCCUUUUUUUUGCCGUAAGGCGGCCCUCG
rnacentral:misc_RNA from 1 species